rnacentral:rRNA from 1 species
AUACGGAGGGUGCAAGCGUUAUUCGGAAUCACUGGGCGUAAAGGACGCGUAGGCGGGUUGGCAAGUCAGAUGUGAAACUCUACAGCUUAACUGUAGAACUGCAUUUGAAACUGCUAACCUAGAGUAUGGGAGGGGGAGAUGGAAUUAGUGGUGUAGGGGUAAAAUCCGUAGAUAUCACUAGGAAUACCGAAAGCGAAGGCGAUCUCCUGGAACAUAACUGACGCUAAGGCGUGAAAGCGUGGGGAGCAAACAGGAUUAGAAACCCUAGUAGUCC